UUGGAGGGCAAGUCUGGUGCCAGCAGCCGCGGUAAUUCCAGCUCCGAUAGCGUAUAUUAAAGUUGUUGCAGUUAAAAGCUCGUAGUUGAAUUUCGGGAUCAAUUUGCUGGUCGUGCCUCUGGUACGUACUGGUAUUAUUGGUUUCUCCCUUCUGACGAACCAUGAUGUCAUUAAUUUGAUGUCGUGGAGAAUCAGGACUGAUACUUUGAAAAAAUUAGAGUGUUUAAAGCAGGCAUUAGCUUGAAUACAUUAGCAUGGAAUAAUGAAAUAGGACGUUUGAUCCUAUUUUGUUGGUUUCUAGGAUUGACGUAAUGAUUAAUAGGGAUAGUUGGGGGCAUUAGUAUUCAAUUGUCAGAGGUGAAAUUCUUGGAUUUAUUGAAGACUAACUACUGCGAAAGCAUUUGCCAAGGAUGUUUUCAUUAAUCAAGAACGAAAGUUAGGGGAUCGAAGACGAUCAGAUACCGUCGUAGUCUUAACCAUAAACUAUGCCGACUAGGGAUCGGAUGAUGUUAAUUUUUUAAUGACUCAUUCGGCGCCUUACGGGAAACCAAAGUGUUUGGGUUC
rnacentral:rRNA from 1 species